UGGAUCCCACAUUGCUGUGGCUGUGGUGUAGGCCAGCAGCUGUAGCUCCAAUUCAACCCCUAGCCUGGGGACUUCCAUAUGCCAUGGGUGUGGCCAUAAAAAUAAGCUUUCUUUCCCUCCUCACAUAAAGGGAGAAUAAUAUUCAUGUACUUUAAAGAACAUGGACCUCUUGGAAUGCAAACUUCUGCAUUUUCAAAAUAUGACACUGAGUAUAGACCCGUAAGAUAAACAGCUGCCAGAAUUAUAGAAUCUUAGAGGUCACUUAAUUUCUUAGCCUCCUGAGAAGCAGACCCUAGAAUCUCUGGGCAGUAGUUUCCCAGGCUCAUCAGCACCUAGGAUGGAGAUGCAUGAUGCAUUAUCCUUCCUUGUCUCUGAUUCAGAACCUUCUCCACACUUAGUCUUACACCUGAAAUCCUUGUAAUGCUUUGGAAUUGCAGAUGCGUGUAGCUGAGCUUUGUUUGGCUAUUUCUGGAUAUAAGUGUUAGGGAAAGAAAAAAAAGAAAGAAAGCCAUAAAAACACAACAUGCAGUUUAAAUAAAGAAAAAUGAGUUUUACUUCCAAGAGAGCUUUUGCCAUUUUCUUAAUGCUUAUUCUUCUUUGGAGAGCUCAUUAUUGAACGGAGUGUGUCGGUAGUUUACCAUGGUGAAUGUGUCUUGUCCGGGCCAGGGGAUGCAUUAGAGCACUGAUAAAGGCCAGAGGAGAGGGCAGAACUGUACCUAAAUUACCCCCAGAUAGUUGCCAAGCCAUUCUACUUUUUUAAAGACCUCCAGAGAGCCUUCCUAUUCGCCUCUAGUUUCCCUUUUCUGUGUUUAAUAACCUCUGCUGUCAGGAAUGUCUUCCUCAUAUUUAACCCAGUUUUCCCUUGCCACAGUUCAAUCCCAUUUCUCUUGUUGUCCUUGGUGGUGACAGAAUAGCAGGUCAUUAUCUUCUUAAUAGUAUCCUUAAUGUGGAAGUUUCCCCUAAGCCUGCUCUUCCCCCAGAGAAAUAAAGAUACUCCUGUUCUCCUCCUCCCCUGCCCCGUCCUCUUCUCCAGGGUCCUAUUUGGAACAUAAUCUUUGGCAUUUUGCUCUUGCGUGCCUGAUCCAAAUAAUCACAUCAGGCCUGUCUUGAGACAUCUGUUGAUUCCAUCUGUAUUCAAAGAGCAAGGUUCUUGUCACCUCCUUUGCUCUCAGUUCAUUCGACUUGACUGCUGCCUGCUGCCCUCCCUCCAGGUGUGAGGUGCCACCCUAGAGGCUGAAGGGGACAUGUGGAGGAGUUCCUGUCUCUGACUUCCACCUGGGAGGAGGGACGAGGACACUUCUUGCCCCUCCUGGCCCUUCUGAUAGUCCAUGGAUUAUGCCUGCUGGCUUUUUCUUUUCCACAAAAACAUUUGAUUCUGAUUGACCUUUUGGGACAUUUUGGGUUUCUGUUGACCUCAUCCUCAGAACGAUAUGGCACAGCAGUAAAGUUGGCAUUAUCCUCUUACAAGCCCUCUCCUCACACUUGAUUCAGUUUUAUAGGUGCUGCAAGGGAAGUUGGAACACACAAACUUUGCUGUGUAAGUGAUGAGUGAACAUGUCUUUCCAGUCAGACUCUGUGUGGUCCCCAUGAAGGGGGGAGAUUGAUCUUUGUAUAUCUCCAGCUCUUAGCAGAAAUGCCCGACACGUUUUAAACAGACUUCACAACUGUUGGUUGGUUGUCAAACGAGGUAUUGGGAAAUUGACUUCACUUUGUUUUCUUAGGUUUUAUUUUACUCAGUUCUUAAUUAGUGCUGGGUGAGUUUUUCAAGGAUAUGCAUUAUCCAGAUGCGUGGCUCGCUCUCCGGUCUCUCUCCUAUUUUACUGCCCACCAAGAUUCAUAUCAAGGGGUGUCUGGAGCCAAAAGUGAUUCAAAGAAGUCAUUCUAACUUCUGGUGGGAAGUGAGGUGAGCAGUGUAGUUAAGAGAGCCAGUGUGAAUGAGAGCUGACACUUCUUACUCAUGUCAUUGUCUGAUGAGUGGAGUCGAAGAGUCUCUGCUUUCUGUAAAUUUUUAAUGGCCGCUCAUGUUUGGAUGAUAACUGAAAUAUUAUCCAGUGAAAUCACUGCUCUGAUCCUUCCACUGCCUUUGUGGAAUCUGUGUCAAGGGACUAUCUUGGUUUUCACACUGCAGAUCCCACUUUCUCCCAGGCUGGCUGGCCCAUGCGCUCUUUGGUUGUUCUGUUGGGCUGUGCUGUGGUGAUCUUGAUUCCUGUACUUCCAUUUGCUGGUCCUCCUUUUUCCUCUUGGGGUCACACGGAACAGAACCUAAUUCCGACACUUGGCAGCCUUUCACAUCUUUGAAAGAUGUCCCUCUGUAUGCACCCACUUAUGUAUGACAUGAUUUGGUCCCUGUUGGGUCCCUACCUAACUACUGCACUUGGGUGACUAUAGCAUGUGGGUCUCUCAAACCUCUAGUAAUAGGUCAAGUCUCCAAGCUGUCUGAGGCUAAGCUACCUCCUGUCAAAUAGUUGCCUCAUGUGGAUUCAGCUGCACUUGGUUUACUUCAAAAUAAUAUUCCUUAAACAGGUAUUUUUUGAGUAUUUACCAUGUGUCAGCACUGGGGGUACACUGGGUAUAGUGGAGAGCAAAAUAACCAGAUUUCUGUCCUCAAUAUAGUGAGAGGUUAGACCAAAUAUCCAUUACGUAUGUGUCUGUGUCUGUGUAAUGUAUCAUUGCAAAUUGUAAAGGUUGAGUGCUGCUUAUUGUCUGGUGACCCAAAUCAGGUACAGCUGCGAACAAGCUCCCUAGCCAGAUGGGGCCACUGGCUCAGCCCUGAAGAUGGGCAGGGCCACUGGCUGGGAUGUCUGUGCGGGUACCUCUGUGAGCAGGAAUGUGAUCUUGGGAGCCUGGUUGUUGUUGGUGUCGCCCCCUUCUCUGUCUCUAUUUGAUCUCUAGCUGUUGAGCCUUACAGAUUAUCUGAAUGAUCCCCCAUAAGAUGAGACCCAAUUGGGCCUCCCAAGAUGUGUCUGCCAAUGCUGCGGGAGCUGGAUGUCCACCUUGGGCUCUCAUUAUCCCCCUGAAGAAACUGCAGGCCUAGGGAGCCCUCUGGGUGAGGUGCUGUGCCGCCUGGGGGAGGGGCGAUGAGGUCCGAGUGUAACUGCUCCUCCUGCCCUUCUAAUGUGGUCCUUCUUGGUCCAGGAGGGUGCUUCAGCCUCAUCCCUGGGUUCUGAGAGUUUCAUAAUGGUGUCUUGUCUAUGGUUAGUUGCUAGUCGGUCUUUUUGUGAGGGGGACUGAAGUUGGGAACAACCCAUGUCUCCUUCUUUUUUGUUUUGCUUUUUUUUAGGGCUGCAUGUGUGGCAUAUGGAGGUUCCCAGACCAGGGGUCUAAUCAGAGCUGCAGCUGCCAGCCUUUGCCACAGCCACUGCAAUGUGGGAUCAGCCAAGUCUGUGACCUACACCAUAGCUCAUGGUGAUGCCAGAUCCUUAACCACUGAGUUGAGGGGCCAGGGACCGAACCCGUGCCUCCAUGGAUACUAGUCGAGUUUGUCAUCACAGAGCUACAACGGGAACAACCUGUGUCUCCUUCUUGAUGACAUUACUGUUUUUUUUUGGUGUGUGUUUUGUGGGAUAGACCUGAACUGAUUUAAGUGCUGAGAGACAGGUUGAAGAGAAGAUACUGAAGAGCAGAAGGAGUACUGGGAUACAGAGCACAGGGAUUAGCCUGAAAGAGAAGCAGAAAUAGCUGUACCCUGUAAUGCGAGGGCUGGAAGAGAGAACUGGUGCUGACAGUGAAGUGUAUAGGCUUGGUGAAGAGAAGUGGGAAAGUCUUCUACUUUGUAAUGAUUUAUCUGCUUAGAGCGAAUGGGAGGUGGAAGGAUUGGAGGCUUGAGUUAAGUAGUGCACAGGCCAUUAAGAAGAGAGAACUGACUAUAGGAAAACACGGAAGUUAACGCAGUGCUCAGUUAAAGGUGGAAGCUCAUGAAUUUAUAGUGGCAACAAUCUGUGCGUUUCGGUGAUUCUCCCCAGAAGUGCUUCACUGCCCAUGUAUAUGCACAUUUUUAAAAAUUAUUUUUUGUUGAGAUGUAACUCACAUAUUAAAAAAGUCUCCACUUUAUAGUAUAUAAUGCAGUGACUUUUAGCAUAGUCACAUUUUUAUUAUCCCAGAAAGAAACUGUGUACCCCUUUAGCCAUCACUUCUCUUUCUCUCCUCCCCCUUGCCUUGGAAAUACUAAUCUUCCUAUGUCUUUGGAUAUAUCUAUUAUGGACUUUUCAUUUAAAUGGAGUCAUAAAGUAAGUGGCCCUUGGCAUCUGGUAUCUGGUAUUUUGCUUAGCAUAAUGUUUUCAAGGUUUGUCCACUUUGCAGCAUGCAUCAGUACAUCAUUCCUUUUUAUGGCUGGAUCACAUUCCAUUGAAUGGAUAUACCACAGUUUAUCCAUUCAUCAGUUAAUGGACAUUUGGUUUGUUCUUACUAUUUGGCUAUUAUGAAUAGUGCUACUGCAAAGAUUCAUGGACAAGCUGUUACAUGGACAUAUAUAUUUUCAAUUAUCUUCGGACUAUACGUAGGAGUAGAAUUGCUAGGCCAUAUGGAAACCUGUGAAGUUCUUGAGGACCAUAUAAACUGCACCAUUUUGCAUUUCCACCAGUAACAUGUGAGUAUUCCAAUUUCCCUACAUCUUUGCCAACACUUGUUACUGUCAGUCUCUGUUAUUAUAGCCAUCCUAGUGGGUGUGAAGUGAUAUUUCCUUUCAAGUGAGCACUUGGCUUGACCCAUGGUUGGGCUUUUUCUAGAAGACUCAGUGGUGAAAAAAAAGGUUAUAUGUUUGAGAAUGAAGACAAAUGGAUGAUUGAAGUGAUGGGUCAUGCAGUGAAAUACAGAAAUGUGCAGGACCCAUGGGAGGGAUACCAUAACUUCACCCCUCACUACACUAAAGGGUGUAAAGGAGGCCUUAUAUUAACAAAGGGCUCAGUAUUGAUCUCAGAAAUAUUACAUGUAAGUGAAAUGUAACUCCAGCAAAAUUGCCAAUGAACACUUUUUGCUAAAAUAGUUACAAAUUUCAACUGGAACUAUAAAUGCAUAUGAAUGCCUGGGAUGUAUUUGGAGGAAAAAAAUAUAUUUGAAGAAAAAAAAGAACAAAAAUGAUGAGAACAUAUAUACCAGAUACUAAAACAUAUUGUAAAGUUAGUGAGCAGUGUGGUCUUAGCAUUCGAAAAAGCCAAUGGAUAGGUGGAAAAGAAGAGAAGAGCCAAGUUCACAUGGGAAUUUAUUGUAAGACAAAGAUGACAUUGUAUCAUCAGAAGUGAAAGGAUGGUUAAUUUUAUAAAUGGUGUUGGGGUGACUAUAUUAAAAAAGUAAUGUCCCCAUCUCACACAGCAUAGCAAAAUAAAUUAGUGCUAGAGUAAAUAUGUAUGAGGAUCCCUGUGUCCACAGAACAUUAGAAGGGAGACUUAGGCAGUUGUGGGGGGUUAGAUUUUGUGGAAUGGUAGGGAGAGCAGAGAUACAAGGAAGAAGGUCAUGUCAGGAUGCACAGGAAAGAGGGCUAUGUGAGGAUACACAGAGAAGGUGGACCAGGCAGAGACACACUGAAGGGAGGCCAGUGGAGAAGGUCACGAAGACGUGAAGGUGGAGAUUGGUGUGAUGCAGCUGUAAACUGGGGAACACCAAGAAUUGCUGGAGGCCACCAGAAACUAGGAAACUGCAAAGGAAGGAUUCUUUCCUACAGUUUUCAGGGAGAGAAUGGCCCUGCUGAUACCUUGAUUUUGGGUUUCUGUUCUCCAGAACUGUGAGAGAAUAAAUUCCUGUGUUUAAACCAUCACACGAUGGUAGUUUGUUACCACAGUCCUAGGAAAUGAGUGCAGUGACUAAUCAGAUUUGAUUUGAUGGAAGGAGUAAUCUGAAACAUUACUGAAUUUUCCCGAAGAUUAAUACCAGAAGCUGUGUUUGAUUAUUCAGUUUUUGGGUAGACAGAACUUCAAUUUCAUGGUUAAGGAGGCCUCACAGAUCUGCAUGAUGAAUUUGAAGAUUCUGGACUCGUCCCAGAGAGGCAGGAACUUUGUCUUAGUCACUGCUGUUUCCCCAGCAUUUAUAACAGUUAGAACAGAACAUACCUGAAACUCAAUGACUCUUUAAUUAAUGAGCUAAUAAGUAGAAAACAUGCAAAAAUACCAAGUUAUCAAUUUUUAUAACAAUGAAGACACUGA